UACAGAGGUCUCAAGCGUUGUUCGGAUUCAUUGGGCGUAAAGGGUGCGUAGGUGGCGAGGUAAGUUGGAUGUGAAAUCCCGGGGCUUAACCCCGGAACUGCAUUCAAUACUGCCUUGCUCGAGUACUGGAGAGGAGAUUGGAAUUUACGGUGUAGCAGUGAAAUGCGUAGAUAUCGUAAGGAAGACCAGUGGCGAAGGCGGCAUCCUGGACCGGUAUUGACGCUGAGGCGCGAAAGCUAGGGGAGCAAACGGG
rnacentral:rRNA from 1 species